AAUAGUUUAUAAAUGGUGGUUACGCUAAUUGAAGCUAAAAUUUUGUGGUGUAAAAAAGUUUGAAAAAUUCACAGAAAAUUGUGAAAAUCAUUUUGUUAUGUGUGUUUUUAAUCUAUAAAUUGUGUUGUUUAGUGUUCAAAAUAAAUAAUGAAUGAUUUUGAGUUGUGACUCUAAUAAAUCGUGUUCUCCGGUGUUUAUUGAUUAUAAUUUAUUGAUCUGAUAUCAGUGUUUUGAUUAAGUCUCCAGUCAUUUUGUCAUUCAUUAUUAUCAUUAUCUACAGAACAGUGCUUUUAUGAUCAGAAGGAGUUAAAAUUGAGGAUCAUGCAAAAGAGAAUUGAGAGGGUGGUGAUGUGAAAAGUUAUAUACACAUGUGAAAAUUUUAAUACCAAUGAGAAAAAAUGUGUUGUUAAUAAGAG